rnacentral:lncRNA from 1 species
GUAGAGCCCAGUUAUUGCCCGGGCCUAAACCAAUACAGGCCCAACAAAAUUAAAACUCAAGCCCAAUUACCCAAACAAUAACCAAACCAGCCCAACACUAAAAAACCCUAGAACCUUCAGCACAACUCCUAGCGCCGUAGCCAAGCAACCCCAACCGCCGCACGACUCGGGGCCAGAAGCCUCCCUCCGCGCAAUUUGCGCCUCCACGUGCGCCGCUCCUCCACGAGCGCCAUGCCUUGCGCAUCGCACCUGCAACAGCAAACAAAAACCAACCGCAACGAAAUAGGGAUAACAUAAGAGAUUUCGUUUUUUAGAUUUAUUUUUGUUUUCUAUUUUCGGCUAUAAAAGGCCAACUUCAAUAUGUAAAC